rnacentral:rRNA from 1 species
GGAGGAUCCAAGCGUUAUCCGGAAUCAUUGGGUUUAAAGGGUCCGUAGGCGGUUUGUUAAGUCAGUGGUGAAAUCUGGUCGCUCAACGAUCAAACGGCCAUUGAUACUGACAGACUUGAAUUAUUGGGAAGUAACUAGAAUAUGUAGUGUAGCGGUGAAAUGCUUAGAUAUUACAUGGAAUACCAAUUGCGAAGGCAGGUUACUAUCAAUAUAUUGACGCUGAUGGACGAAAGCGUGGGGAGCGAACAGGAUUAGAUACCCUGGUAGUCCACGCCGUAAACGAUGGAUACUAGCUGUUGGGAGCAAUUUCAGUGGCUAAGCGAAAGUGAUAAGUAUCCCACCUGGGGAGUACGUUCGCAAGAAUG